rnacentral:lncRNA from 1 species
CUUCACACUACAACGACAGAGCUGAAUACUUGAGUACUUGAUGCAGAGAUCAUUUGAUCUGUAAAUCCUGAAAUGUUUGCUCCCCAGUCCUUCUUCUUCAAGGAUGAUGAAGAAGUAUCUACUCUGGAAUUACUUCGUACAAAAAAAGAAGGUGGAGAACUGUCAGAGAAAUCAAAACAAAGACCUGAUUGAAAAAAUAUGAGAAAUUAAGUGGCCAUAAAUCACUAUGUUCAAAUGGUCUUCAUCUAAAACUUCUGAAAGAGUUAAAGAAGGAUGUAGCUAAGCUACCACCAAAAAUGUAUCAACACCUUCCAUCAAAGAGGAGGGUGAUGAAUGCCCAUCAAUCUUUAAGAACAGUUCAGUGUUACUUGUAAGGUUAGGUUUUAAUAAAAAACAUGGUGUUGUCUAGAAUUAUUCAAGUCUUUAAAAAGGAGUGUAUUUGUCCCCUUGUGGAAACUGUGUACUUUUACAAUUAGUUGUUUCUGGAAAAGUUUCUCCACACAUAGCCUUUCUUUCUUGUUUUGUUUGUUCUGUUGUUGUUUUUAUUGUAAUUUUUAAGUGUUUCUACAUGAGUUUACUACCCUGAACAUUACUGAACACUGC